CUUUGUAUGAUAUAAUUUUUAUUUUUUAACAGCGAAUGGGGUCUUAGCAAAGGAAGACGCGACCCAUAUUUAAGACUAAUAAAAUUGGAUUUUAUCCAUACGGUUUAAGUUGUACACAUUCAAACAUGUCGGAAAGUGUUUCUAUUCGCCCCAUUUUACGGUACCUUUGUUUCUGUCUACU